UGUUGAUAUUGUCUCCAGUGACCAUGCGGACUGUAAUUCCAGCUCGCUGGCACUUUCUUAUGGCUUCUGGGACCUCUGGUCUUACUGGAUCUUCAAUGCCAACAACACAAAUGCAAGUCAGAUCAGAUAAAAUGUCAUUUUCAUUGUCCCAGUCAGGUUCUGGGCUGCUGUUGAAGUCUCGGAAGGCAACACAGAUAGUUCUCAGUCCAUCACAGGCCAUUGGUUCAAUC
rnacentral:lncRNA from 1 species